GACGAACGCUGGCGGCGUGCUUAACACAUGCAAGUCGAACGGAAAGGCCCUGCUUUUGUGGGGUGCUCGAGUGGCGAACGGGUGAGUAACACGUGAGUAACCUGCCCUUGACUUUGGGAUAACUUCAGGAAACUGGGGCUAAUACCGGAUAGAAGCUCCUGCUGCAUGGUGGGGGUUGGAAAGUUUCGGCGGUUGGGGAUGGACUCGCGGCUUAUCAGCUUGUUGGUGGGGUAGUGGCUUACCAAGGCUUUGACGGGUAGCCGGCCUGAGAGCGUGACCGGCGACCUGGCGACUGCGAGACGGCGCAGACUGCUACGGGAGGCAGCAGUGGGGAGUAUUGCACAAUGGGCGGAAGCGUGAUGCAGCAGCGCCGCGUUCGGGAUGAUGUCUUUCGGGUGGUAAACCGCUGUCGCCUGUGACGAAGCGUUAGUGACGGUAAUGGGUAAAGAAGCACCGGCUAACUACGUG
rnacentral:rRNA from 1 species